rnacentral:rRNA from 1 species
UACGUAGGGGGCAAGCGUUGUCCGGAUUUAUUGGGCGUAAAGAGCGUGUAGGCGGCCAGGUAGGUCUGCUGUGAAAACUCGAGGCUUAACCUCGAGAUGUCAUCGGAAACCAUCUGGCUAGAGUCCGGAAGAGGAGAGUGGAAUUCCUGGUGUAGCGGUGAAAUGCGCAGAUAUCAGGAAGAACACCAAUGGCGAAAGCAGCUCUCUGGGACGGUACUGACGCUAAGACGCGAAAGCGUGGGGAGCGAACAGG